CAAUAGCGUAUAUUAAAGUUGUUGCGGUUAAAAAGCUCGUAGUUGGAUUUCUGCUGAGAACGACCGGUCCGCCCUUUGGGUGUGUAUCUGGCUCUUUCUUGGCAUCUUCUUGGUGAACGUUGCUGCACUUGACUGUGUGGAGCGCUACCCAGGACUUUUACUUUGAGGAAAUUAGAGUGUUUCAAGCAGGCAUACGCCUUGAAUACAUUAGCAUGGAAUAAUAAGAUAGGACCUCGGUUCUAUUUUGUUGGUUUCUAGAGCUGAGGUAAUGAUUAAUAGGGACAGUUGGGGGUAUUCGUAUUUCAUUGUCAGAGGUGAAAUUCUUGGAUUUUUGAAAGACGAACUACUGCGAAAGCAUUUACCAAGGAUGUUUNCAUUA
rnacentral:rRNA from 1 species